rnacentral:tRNA from 1 species
GGAGAAAUACCCAAGCCCGGCUGAAGGGAUCGGUCUUGAAAACCGACAGGGCGUGCAAGCGCCGCGGGGGUUCGAAUCCCUCUUUCUCCGCCA